UUACAUGGUAACAUUUGAUGUUUGUCUUACACAGUUUACCUCCCCACUCCUCACUUAGCUGAUAUUUCAAAAAUUAUGGUUUAGUGGUCUUCACAGAGAGCCAAAGGUCUCUGCUCUCAGUUGCAGGUUGUUUGGUGACCAGUUGUCCUUUGGCACACUGGCACACAACAGAUUGGGGGAUACAUAUGUCCUUCACUAAGAGAAGGGCAUCUCUCACACUCUCUCUCAGGAUAUGACACUGUGUGUGUCCCAGUUGGUUUUCAGCUGCUUAAGGGAACGUCUGUGUUUCUGACUGCCAGGGAGAACAACAGCGGCCUUUCUGAUACGCUGGAGUACAGACAGCCCCAGAGAGCCGAGUCCUCUGUCACCAGCAUGCAGACGAGAACAAACCCUCUCUCACACUCCAUAAUCUGAGAAUCAUUCCUGAAACAGAAAAGCAGAUGCUGGAUGAGAGCAGGACAGACAUAAAGG